AGCAAUAAUAGUGAUAUACCGUUUGAGAGAGUAAAAUAUAUAACAAAUUUUUCAUUGUUAUAAAUGGUUUCUAUAUUAAUGUCAUCAACCGUCGUCCGUUUUGAAGGGCCUGGGAAAGAGGUUGAGUGUGUGUGUGUGUGUGGCGGGGGGGGGGGGGUGUCGAGGGUUUGUCGUUUGUAAGAACUGUUUCACGUCAUAACAUCGCGUG